UACCAGCACCCCGAGUGGUCGGGACGUUUUAUUGGGCCUAAAGCAUCCGUAGCCGGUUCUACAAGUCUUCCGUUAAAUCCAACUGCUUAACAGGUGGGCUGCGGAAGAUACUAUAGAGCUAGGAGGCGGGAGAGGCAAGCGGUACUCGAUGGGUAGGGGUAAAAAUCCCGUUGAUCCAUUGAAGACCACCAGUGGCGAAGGCGGCUGCCAGAACGCGCUCGACGUGAGGGAUGAAAGCUGGGGGAGCAAACCGGAGUUAGAUGACC
rnacentral:rRNA from 1 species